GUCGGCACAUAAAAAACCGUAUUCUGCCCCAAGUUGGAGUGCUUUCUUUCUCGGUUAAAUAUUAGCAGCAGAAUUAUACAUACAUAUAUGGCGCUUGCUGACAGAAAUUUUCCCGGUUAACAUUCUCUUCCUUUUAACUAGUUGAAUUGUGAUAAUGAAAGCUCGUUCCUUUUGUGUUUUAUUGCAAAUUUUUUGUUCCCUUUUCCUUUUGUUAGGACGAAUAAUUUUGCCGUUGCUUACAUUGGGUGGAAUUGCUCUUUGGAUGAAUUAUUACGGGUUUUUGGGUAAAAAACCGAGAAGUAAAGUUCUAUUCUGGUCAAGACCAGGUCGAUUAAUCAAAAAGUAUUUGGUACCUGAUCACGUAGAAAAAGAGAAAGCUUUAGCAGAGAUAUGUGCAAAAUCUGUUUUUAUUUUUUAUUUUUGAUGUUGUCUUAUGAAAACAAAUUGGCAAAACUAUAAAAUAAAGUCAUGGUAAUCUCCAGGGGAAAAAAAAAUCUUUGAAUCUAGUUACUCAUGGAGUUUUUUUGAGAGGCCAGCCCGGUGCACGAAACAUUCCGCGUUCACGCACGCAGGGUACGAGAAGUGCCGCACCUCAAGGAGUGUGAUGUAGGCAGCCUACCCUUUUGCAAGCUUCGACCUAGGAAACAACUUUAAUGUUGCUCCACGGCUCCCUUUCUUUUUUAAAAGUGAUUAAGAUAAAUUGACAAUGUCGUUUUUUUUGGAGUACUGAAUUAGAUUAUCCUCUUCAUGUUUGAAGCUAAUUCAGAAAACAAAAACAAAUAUUAAACCCAAAUUUGGCAAAAAAUUAAAGAGUAGAGGUUCUAAUUGAGGAGCCAAAAGCAUGUUAAUAUGCACGAGUCCACAUUUUGCUACAUAACUUGGGUCCGAUAAUCAAAUAUACUAGUAGUUAUUUUUAUCCUCAUAAGCGUGGGAAGGGCAUCUUUUUAGUAGUUUUUUUUUUUGUUGGGAUAAUGUAACUUUUUAUAAAUUUUCUCUUCAAAAAUCCGUGUUUCCACCUGUAAUGCAAUUAGGUUCAUGAUGCAAAGGAGGAUUACUUCAGCCAGCUACCAGAUGAUGUUUUGUCUUCCAUUCUUGCACAUUUGAUAGUAAUAGAUGCUGCUAGGACGAGCAUUUUAUCUAGAAGGUGAAAAUAUCUCUUUGCCUCUAUACCUACAUUACAAUUCAGAUGCCUUGACAUGUUUGGGAUUAACCCUCACAACCAUACAUGUUGCCCUUACUAUCAGUAAAAUUUCAUGAAUGGUGUAAAUCAGUUAUUACAACUUUAUUCGGGUCGUAAAGUGACUCAUGUUAAGAUGACUUUUUGCUUUGGGAGACAGUUUUCUAGUGAAUUUGACCAAUGGACGCAUUCUAUUUCAAGAUUAGGUGUUGAAAGACUAUAUCUUUCUUUUGAUUGUGGCAUUAUUCCAAUUCUCUAUGUUCACAUAAACUGGAGUCGCCAAUAAGGGAGAGGUAGAUGCCUAGCAUGCUAUAUUGACUAUUCUAUGAAGUGACCAGAUGUUUCUGAAUUCUGCUGCUUGUGAAGAUCUAAGUCUAAGCUUCCCUGAUGCAGUUGGAAGACUGUAAAAGGCAACAGGCACAGCUAAUUGAUUGUUGUAUCAUGUCUUAUUAAUAUUUCUAGUUUUAUGGCCAUAUUAACUCCAAUCUUUUCCUCUGUCGCAUCUACUAAAAUGACCAUUGCUUUCUCUUAUUUCUCAUUAAAUUCCAACUGAUAGAUGAUGGAGUUUUACUUUGGUUUUAGAUCAAUUAAAUUAACCAGUACGUGGGUACGUACUUGUGCAGUUUUCUUCAGCAACGCCUGCUCUUGUUUUCUUUCUUAUAAGUGGCAGAGGUAAGUUCUGCUUAGCAAGAAGAGACUUUGUUGGUUCACAUUUUUAUAUAAUAUCCCUUAUCCACAGAAAAGAAGCAGUAAUCCACGAGGGUAGAUUCGAAUCAACAGUCUCCUUAUGUAAUACUAGUACAUAUAUAGUCGUGCACAAAGCAAAAGGGAGAAAAGAAAAACCAAAGGAUGCAGGGGGUGGAGCAUAAGAAAAGAAAAAGAAGACGUCUUUCUCAAACACAGAUCCCAACGGAAUGCAGGAAGGAUGCCCGACAUUACUUGCUGUAUCCUAUUCUUUUCGUUUUUUAGUUUAAAGGGACUCCCUUUGUUCUCCUUGGUAAUCUUUGCAGUGUGAUACACACACACACACACACACACUCUCACACACACAGAGCCCAUUCAGUUGUUUUUUACUUUGUUUUUAGAUUUAUGUCUAGAAAACAAAAAUAGAAAAUAAGUUCAAAUGGAGGGAGCAAAAGAAAGGGUGGAGUAUGAUUAGUUUAUUUGUCUCCCAAUGAUUGACUUGCCGCCUUGCUCCAAGAGAAACAUGCUCUGAAUCUCUUUAUAAGUGUCAGGAUUUUUUCAAUCCAAUAGCAACGAAAAUGAAGUCUUCUGAGUAAUGAUGACAAUAGCGGCAACACUAACAGCAACAUCCACUGGCUUGGUUAUUCAUUCUCCCCUCACAUAAACAGCUUAGAGGGUCCUCCUCCUCAUCACCAUCACACUCAACCUGGCUCAAGCAAUGUUCCAAGUUCAGUCUGCAUUAGAUUUUGUCCAACUCAUCUCAACUAUCCAGGCAUAUACUAUAAUACUGAAAGUGACGAUGCAGCCUUUUUCUCUUCAUUUUCUGUGAUGCCUCUCAAUGAUGGUUCAUUAUGCAUUGUGAAAGCAUUCAACAGGUCAGAACAACCAAAAGUUUGAAGGCAUGGUAAGUUUCAACACCUAAACUGGAGGAUUUCUUUGGUGAUGCAGCAAUGGGGAUCCAUCACUAUGAAGGUUGUAGCGGAUGAGGUAUGGUUCACAGCUUAGACAACAAGAUUUACUAUAAUCAACACCAAGAAAGGGUUUGGAGGUUUAAUGAUGGCAGCAACAGACUAUGGAAGCAGCUUGUUAGAAGUCAAAUGUGGAAGGAAGGAUUAUUGGCUCCUUGUGCAAUUCAGUCUUCUUCUAUGGGAGGAGUUUGGAGUACCAUUAGCAAUCUAAAGGGUGAAUAUAGUCAGCUUGUUAAGCUGAUAUUUGGGAAUGGCAAUAAUAUUUUAUUCUGGUAUGAUGUAUGGAUGGGAAAUUAGAGCUUCAGAUCAAGAUUUCCCGUUUUAUAUAGUUGCUCCACAAACAAAAAAGGAAAUUUAGCAGAUUUGUACUCAAAUAAUAGCUGGUAACUGAUGUUUUGGAGAGGCCUCAAAUGACUUGGAAAUAGAUGAACAUGCUCAAUUGCUGCAGUUGCUGGACAGUGUUAGUUUGUAGGAUAAUAAGAGAUUCAUUUAUCUGGGCAGCAAGUGGUGAUGGAAAAUUCACUGUCAACAGAUAUACACUGUAUUGGAAAAGCAACAGAGGAUGCAUGAUUCAAAUUGGCCAUGGAAACUGGAAAGCAAUUUGGAAAUCUAAAGCACCUGUAAAGUAGCUUGUUUUGGGUGGGUGGCGGCAAAGAAACCUUGUAUAUGGACAAUAUGGUUGGCAACAUAUUUCCAGGAUUAAAAAUGAUGUUUGAUAAAUCUGUAUUUCUGGUGCAAAAGAAGUGUUAUGGAAAUUUGGAACAGUUAUAUGAAUCUUCUAGUGGAGUUAAGUGAUGUAGGAGAUCAGUUUUGUGUUAGUUGCUGGCCUAUUAUAUUUAUACCAUCUUGGUACCUUUUUUAUUUAAAAAAUUUUACCUUACCAAAAAAAAAUAUUAACCAACACCAAGAAAAUGAGACCACCAACAGCCAAGAUUUCUCGAACCUUGUUCAAGAAACCUCUAGGCAGUAACAACAAAAACAACACUACCCUGAUUUCUCAGCAUAUCAAUCUACUGAUCAGGGGAAAACAGAGUGCAAUCCUCAGGUCCCAACAAUGCCAGUUGAUGAAAUGUCUGGAAUUAAUAACUGGGUGUCAAGAAACUAUCAAAAUCUAAAAGGGCAUGUAUUAGAGCAGAAUAUGAUAGGCUGCAUGACUGAUAAUAGUGGAGAAUCUGGGUCUAGUGGUGCAAUAACAUACGGAGAUUUUAUAUCACUUAGCUUAUCAAUGAGCCCUAGCUCUCAAUCAAGUUGUGUCAGUGGAAUGCAGCAAAUAUCUCCAACUGUCGCGGAUAGUAUUGCCAUGGAAACAAAGAAAAGAGGGCUUGAGAAGGUGGAUUAUCAAAAGCAAAUUGUUCAUAGGAAAUCCAUUGAUACUUUUGGCCAAAGAACCUCAUAGUAUCGAGGCGUCACUAGGCAUAGAUGGACUGGUAGAUACGAAGCUCAUCUAUGGGACAACAGUUGUAAGAAAGAAUGGCAGAGCAGGAAAGGAAGGCAAUGUUAGUGUCAAACAUUUUUUUUAAUGGAUUUGCUUUUUACAACUUCUGAUGAUCAUAAAUAUCAUAAAUCUAGGUGGGUAUGACGUGGAAGAAAAAGCUGCAAGAUCAUAUGAUUUGGCAGCACUGAAGUACUAGGGACUCUCAACACACAUAAAUUUCCCGUAGGAAAAUGAAAAACAUGACACGACAAGAAUAUGUAGCUCAAUUAAGAAGGAAGAGUAGUAAUUUUUCAAGAGGAGCUUCAAUGUAUCGAGGGGUGACAAGGAAAAUACUCACUACAAUUCAGUAGGCAACUUUAGCAUUGGAAAUGAAGUUCUGUUGUUACUAAAAUUGAAAAUCGCCCUUGUUGAUCUUCGCUUUAGCAGACACCAUCAGUACGAAAGAUGGAAAGCUCGGAUCGGCCGAGUGGCUGGGAACAAGUACCUUUAUUUGGGGAGAUUUACUGAGUGAAUUUGACUACUAGCUCUGUGAUUCCUUUUCUCAUACGAGAUAAUGUAAUUUUAUUGUGUAAAGUGUGCGCUUAGAUUCAACUUAAAACUCUUAAUAAGGAUUGUUCAGUAUUAUAAAGGCAUAAUUUUUUUUUAAA